GAUUUUUCGUCAUUCUGCUCUCUACAUAGAGAAGGGAAGCCCACCCUCAAGAACCCCUAAGCUCACGGGUACGGGCACAGCGUGCAUCCGGCCAGGCACUGGGACGAUGGGAGACCUGACUCCUACACUGCAGGAAUUGGUGCCAUCUGGGGGAAGAGCAUUCCUUUGGAGCCUCAAGAGUAGCGUGAUGAGAGAGAGAACCGUGAAAAUUCACAAGACUCACGCUUCAUACCCAGACGUGGUGCAGAUGUGAUGCGACACGGAAUGUUCAGCACAGCCACGUAACCGGAAACAGAAAUGCAUUUUCAUCUUUGUAAGAAAAUAUUUGAUUUUUGAUAUCUACUGAACGCAGAACCAUCUUGUAUCUCUUUUCUAUCUUUUUAUUUUUGUUGCUUGGUGCCAUAGAGAACUAGCUGGUUAAACAGAACAUAAAGUUUCCACUCCCUAAAAGCUUCAGCAAUUUUGGAAGAGAUUAAGCAAAACAGCUUGAAAAAACCAAAACAUGACUCUACCCAGCCUUGGUGGAACAAAUCACCCCGGCUUUCAACUACCUGUCUCGCCUUCCCAGAAUCUCACCUUGCUGUGAAAGCUAAAUAAAUUCAGCUGUAAUCAUCCCAUUAA